rnacentral:lncRNA from 1 species
AGAAAUGUUUCGAUUGAAAUUUGAAUUAUUGAUAUGCGUCUAAGCUAUUUGAUUCAGCUAGACAAAUGUUUAUGAAAUUCAAAGUAUUCUUUGAAAGCUUAUGCCAAACCAAAUUGUUUUGGUGCGGAAUCUUAUGAUAAGUCUGAGGUGAACAACCCUGAAAAUGGGGAUAUACUAAUUGGAUAAAAUACUCCAAUCUAAG